rnacentral:rRNA from 1 species
GUAGGUGGCAAGCGUUGUCCGGAAUUAUUGGGCGUAAAGCGCGCGCAGGCGGUCCUUUAAGUCUGAUGUGAAAGCCCACGGCUCAACCGUGGAGGGUCAUUGGAAACUGGGGGACUUGAGUACAGAAGAGGAAAGCGGAAUUCCAAGUGUAGCGGUGAAAUGCGUAGAGAUUUGGAGGAACACCAGCGGCGAAGGCGGCUUUCUGGUCUGUAACUGACGCUGAGGCGCGAAAGCGUGGGGAGCAAACAGGAUUAGAUACCCUGGUAGUCCACGCCGUAAACGAUGAGUGCUAAGUGUUAGGGGGUUUCCGCCCCCCUUAGUGCUGCAGCUAACGCAUUAAGCACUCCGCCUGGGAGUACGGCCGCAAGGCUG